rnacentral:rRNA from 1 species
CCAAUAGCGUAUAUUAAAGUUGUUGCAGUUAAAAAGCUCGUAGUUGAAUUUCGAGAUCAAAUUGUUGGUCGUGCCUUGGUACGCACUGGCAUUAUUGGUUUCUCCCUUCUGACGAACCAUGAUGUCAUUAAUUUGGUGUCUUGGGGAAUCAGGACUGUUACUUUGAAAAAAUUAGAGUGUUUAAAGCAGGCUCACGCUUGAAUACAUUAGCAUGGAAUAAUGAAAUAGGACGUUUGAUUCUAUUUUGUUGGUUUCUAGGAUCGACGUAAUGAUUAAUAGGGAUAGUUGGGGGCAUUAGUAUUCAAUUGUCAGAGGUGAAAUUCUUGGAUGUAUUGAAGACUAACUACUGCGAAAGCAUUUGCCAAGGAUGUUUUCAUUAAUCAAGAACGAAAGUUAGGGGAUCGAAGACGAUCAGAUACCGUCGUAGUCUUAACCAUAAACUAUGCCGACUAGGGAUCGGAUGAUGUUAAUUUUUUAAUGACUCAUUCGGCGCCUUACG